rnacentral:rRNA from 1 species
AUUGAACGCUGGCGGCAUGCCUUACACAUGCAAGUCGAACGGCAGCACGGAGCAACCUGGUGGCGAGUGGCGAACGGGUGAGUAAUGCAUCGGAACGUACCUUUCAGUGGGGGAUAACGUAGCGAAAGUUACGCUAAUACCGCAUAUUCUGUGAGCGGGAAAGCAGGGGAUCGCAAGACCUUGCGCUGAUUGAGCGGCCGAUGUCAGAUUAGCUAGUUGGUGAGGUAAAGGCUCACCAAGGCGACGAUCUGUAGCGGGUCUGAGAGGAUGAGCCGCCACACUGGACAUGAGACAAUGUCCAGACUCCUACGGGAGGCAGCAGUGGGGAAUUUUAGACCAUGGGGGCAACCCUGAUCCAGCCAUGCCGCGUGAGUGAAGAAGGCCUUCGGGUUGUAAAGCUCUUUCGGCCGGGAAGAAAUCGCACGGGCUAAUACCCUGUGUGGAUGACGGUACCGGAAUAAGAAGCACCGGCUAACUACGUGCCAGCCGCCGCCGUAACAC